rnacentral:rRNA from 1 species
UACGUAGGUGGCAAGCGUUGUCCGGAAUUAUUGGGCGUAAAGCGCGCGCAGGCGGCCUCUUAAGUCUGAUGUGAGGGCCCCCGGCUCAACCGGGGAGGGCCAUUGGAAACUGGGAGGCUUGAGUAUAGGAGAGAAGAGUGGAAUUCCACGUGUAGCGGUGAAAUGCGUAGAGAUGUGGAGGAACACCAGUGGCGAAGGCGACUCUUUGGCCUAUAACUGACGCUGAGGCGCGAAAGCGUGGGGAGCAAACAGG